GACGAACUGUCCAAACGUUGUUCGGAAUCACUGGGCUUAAAGGGCGCGUAGGCGGUCGAUCAAGUCAGGGGUGAAAUCCUGCAGCUUAACUGUAGAAGUGCCUUUGAUACUGGUCGUCUCGAGGGAGGUAGGGGUGUGUGGAACUUCCAGUGGAGCGGUGAAAUGCGUUGAUAUUGGAAGGAACGCCGGAGGCGAAAGCGACGCACUGGACCUUUUCUGACGCUGAGGCGCGAAAGCUAGGGGAGCAAACGGG
rnacentral:rRNA from 1 species